UACGUAGGGUGCAGGCGUUAAUCGGAAUUACUGGGCGUAAAGCGUGCGCAGGCGGUUUCUUAAGUCAGAUGUGAAAUCCCCCGGGCUUAACCUGGGAACUGCGUUUGAAACUGGGAGACUUGAGUGUGGCAGAGGGGGGGUGGAAUUCCACGUGUAGCAGUGAAAUGCGUAGAUAUGUGGAGGAACACCAAUGGCGAAGGCAGCCCCCUGGGUCAACACUGACGCCUCAUGCACGAAAGCGUGGGGAGCAAACAGG
rnacentral:rRNA from 1 species